rnacentral:rRNA from 1 species
UACGGGGGGAGCAAGCGUUGUUCGGAUUUACUGGGCGUAAAGGGCGCGUAGGCGGCCACUGCAAGUCGGUUGUGAAAUCUCCGGGCUUAACCCGGAAAGGUCAAUCGAUACUGCAGGGCUAGAGUGCAGAAGGGGCAACUGGAAUUCUCGGUGUAGCGGUGAAAUGCGUAGAUAUCGAGAGGAACACCUGCGGCGAAGGCGACUACCUGGCCUGUUCUUGACGCUGAGGCGCGAAAGCUAGGGGAGCAAACGGG